CGAAGCCGUGUCCGGUAAGGAAAGGAACCGGUUGGCGCCAGGCCGCCUCCCCCUCCCCCACCGCCUCCGCGGCGGCUAUAAAACGCGCCCAGGUGCGCCCUCUCCUCCCCGCGCUCCGGUCCCGUCCCUCCUCCGACCUUUCUCGUUCGUGACGGGCCGCGCCCCCGCUCUCGCCUCCUCGCGUUUGCGCGACUGUUUCCCCUUCCUUUCUCUCGUCCCUCGCUUCGAAUCGCGUCUGAUUUGAGUUCAUUCACUCGUCGUCGCCGUUGCCUUGCUGUGCUCGCAGGGCAUUCGAAUCCGGCCCGUGUCCUCCGCCUCCGUGCGAGCUCGGGAAGCGAUCGAUCGGGGGAUUCAUCCACUUGUGGCCUCCGUUUGGUUUGCGAUUCUAUCUCUGAAUCUGUUUUGUGUGUCCGCUUCUGUUUGCAACUGCGGAUCCUGUGUUCCUCGUAUUCGUAUUCGCAUCCGCGCGCGUUGGUUGCAGGAUCGUCGAGCCUGGUUUUCGGAAUUGGAGCUCUAAAUUGUGGAGCUGGAGGCCGAGGCAAGGUCAGUUUCCCGUACGUGCUCGCUCAGAUCGGUUGCUUGGUUCCUGUCACCUGCGUUCGCCCGUGAUUUCAGAUUUAAUCAUCCGUUAGAACGAGGUGGAUUAAUUCGAGGCCCUCGUGGAUUCUUGCAUAUAACGAGUUCUGAUAUGUGAAGUUUGAUUUCUGUACAUCGUUAUUUUGAUUGACUGGUUACGGUUCAGCGGUUAUUCUGAUAUGGUCAAAUCUUCUCGGGUGAUGAUGCUUUCGACCUCUUACCAACCUGGAGCCGGUGAUCUGAGUUUGGAUAAUAAUUAAAUCCCUCCCAGUUUAGUUUCUUGUUUUCCCCCAGUAGUCAACGGCAAUUCUGAUUUCAAUCUGUUGGUGCUUCUCCAGAUAUUGGAUUACAAGGCAUAGGGUGGAGCGGCCUAUCUUGACCUGUGUUUGGAUGAUUAUUAUAUUACCCCCUCUGUUUAAUUCCUUCAUCUACACGGCUCAGUUUUAGUCGGUUCUGAUUUAGAUCUGUUGAUGAUUGUCCAGAAAUUGGGAUUAUACGGCUUAGCGGGAGCGACUUGUCAUCUUUCAUGCCCUGUGUUUGGAUAAUCAUUACUCUCUGUUUAUUUCCUUUCUCCACAGUUCAGUUAGUGUUGGCACAAUUCUGAUUCGGAUUUUGGAUUUGUUGCUGGUACUUCAGAUGUUGGAAUCACACGGCUUAGCGGGUGGCCCAGUUUUCCCUCGGCACGGCGGUUCUUCUGUGGCUCAACAUUUUCUUACUCAUCAAUAAUAUAAUUAGAACACACCAGACAAGUUUCUCUGCCUUAGUUUGUCAUUCUCAGCUCUUGCAGAAACCAUCUUGGAAGGGAUAUAAUUGGAAUCGGUGCUGUCUACCUGACCUUCUCAGCCCAAACUUCCUUACAACUUUUACCUCCUCGUUUGAAGCAUACUUUAGUUGAUUCUAGUUUUCCAAUAAUUUACAGAGGCGUAUCGUGCUCGUUGCAGGUUUGACGAAUGCAAAGUCCAACCUGAUGCUGAGUUGAAUCUGUUUGCAGUUUUUUCUAAUCAAUUCAUCAUUACUUAGAUAACCUUUAAGAUCUUCUCACUAGGCAAUAUUUUGAAUUCAGAUUUAUCUCAAAGGUGCACGAAUGGAGCUUCAAACUUGGCAAAUCCUACAAACAAAAAAGAGACUCCUCCAUUUUUAACUCUUGCCUCCUCUUUUUUUAUAUCACGUAGCUACUUCUUCAUGCCUUUGAUUUAGGCUUUUUUGCUUCUGCCCCUGUGAUUGCAGAUUUAUUUUAGCCCAGAGAGUGCUGGUAGUGAGUCGAAAUCUGUUAAAAUCGUUUGGUUUGCAAUCUAUCUCUAUGCGUUUCAAUUCGUUAUCUGUACUCUUAUCCUGUCGACUGCAGGCCAUAUUUAGGAAGUUUGUGCUUAUGGGCAAAUCUCUGUACAGUGAGUCAGGUCAGUGUUCUAUCAACGGUUUGUUUGGUUUAGUUGUGUUCCUCCACACAUUGGUUGCAGGAUUGGAUCUGGAAUGUGGAGAUCCCUUUGGUGUUGUAUGUUGAAGGGGAUUUGAGCAGGUCAGAUUUAAAUGGCUAUCGCUGGUGUGGUCUUCUGGUUCUCAUCACGCAUCAUCAGCUAAUAUGAGGUGGAUUAGAGGUCCUGGUGGAUUCUUAUUGUAGCAGCUGAUCGCACUUUUGGUGUGUGUUUGUGCUCCUUUGCUUGCAGCAGAUGCAGGAGUGUAGUAUUUCUGCACAGAUGAAUCAUAGGGUGGAGGUUUGGUUUCUGUUUGUCGUUUUGAUUGAUUGGAUAAUGAAGCUUAGGAUCUCUUGCCAACCUGAAACUUGUGAUCUGCAGUUGGAUAAUGAAUUUCAUCCCAAUUCAAUUUAUUUGGUUUGCGCAGUACAAUUAGUCCUUGGCAGUUCUGAAUUCGUUUGUGGUUUUCCAGAAAUUGGGCUUAAUAAGGUUUAGCAGGAGCAACCUAUCUUCUUGUUGAUCAGUGUUUGGAUGAUUAUGAACCCCUCUAUUUAAUUCAUUCUCCACAAUUCAACUUUAGCCCCCCCACAGUUCUGAUUUGGAUCUGUUGCUGGUUGUCCAGAAAUUGGGAUUAUAUGGCUUAGCGGGAGUGACCUAUCUUCUUGCUGACCUGCGUUUGGAUGAUCAUUACUCUGUGCUUAAUUUCUUCUCAGCUCAAUUAGUUGUCCAACAAUUUUGAUUUAGAUUUGUUGCUGGUUCUCCAGAAAUUGGAAUUAUACGGCUUAGCGGGUGAUCCUAUGUUUCCUCAGCAUGGCGGUUCUUUCUGUGGCCCAACAUAUCUGACCUUUUGUCCUCCCUUGAUAAUUGAACUUUCUAGACAUUUGUUUCUUUGCCUUGGUUGGUAAUUCUUAGCUCUUGCAGAUGCUGGCUUGGAAGCGAAAAUUGAAACCAGUGUUGUCUAUCUGACCUUCGCGGCCGAGACAGCCUUACUUACCCUUUACCUCUUACUUACCCUUCACCUCAGCAUUUGAUGCAUGCUUUAGCUGAGCCUAGUUUUCCUCUUAACUUAUAGAAAGGUAUCUUCCUCGUUGCAGGUCGUAGUUGAUGAACUCAAGUCCAACCUGGUGCUGAGUUGAAUCUGUUUGCAGUUCUUCUAAAUCUACUAUUUCCUCAAGUCAUCAUAACUUAGAUAACCUUUAAAAUUAUCUUACCAGGAAAUAUUUUGAAUACAGAUCUGCAAAGGCUCAACAAAGGAGAAUCAAACUAAUGGAACAUCCUACAAUGAAAAAGACUAUUUUAACCCACCUCUUAUUUUUUAUUUCAUGUAGCUACUUGUUUAUGUCUUUAAUUUAUGUUUUUCUUUCUACCCUCCCUUUGGUGGUUGCAGAUUGAGCCCAAACCAUGCUGGUUGUGAGUCGGAAUCUGUUAAAUCAUUUGGUUUGCGGUCUAUCUCUCUCUCUCUGGAUCUUUUUGUUGUUUGUACUCUUGAUCCCUGUGCUGGUCUUCUGCGUGUAUCAGUUGCAGGAUAUAUUUAGGAAGUCUGGGCCGCAGGAUAUAUUUGGAUGUGUUGGUUCUCCAGAAAUUGGAAUUAUAUGGCUUAGCGGAGAGACACAUCUUGCUGCUUUGCGUUUGGAUAAUUAUCACUCCCUCCGUUUUACUCUUUCGUCUCCACUGUUCUGUUUUGGUUUCCCACAAUUCUAAUUUGAACUAUUUGUUGGUGGCUCUCCAGAAAUUGUAAUAAUAUGGCUUAGAACGCGGUCCUAUUUUGCGUCGUGGCAGUUCCUUCUGUGGCUAAAACUUUUCAACCUUUUUUACUCUAUAAUUGAACUCUCUAGACCUUAGGCUUUCUUUGCCUUAGUAAUUCUCAGUUCUUGCAGAUACCGACUUGGAAAGGAAACUGCAGUUCGGAACUGGCGUUGUUGUUGUCUAUCAUCCAUACCUGACCCUAGACAGGCUUUUACUUGUUCCCACUCAUCAUUUCAUCCAUGCUUUAGCUAUUUAUAAGCAGCAUUUCUCCUAACCAAAAAUUUAUAGAGAAGGCCUCUUGCUCGCUGCAGGUUGUAGUUGAAGAACUCCUUUCCAACCCGAUUCAUAUGCAACACAAAUAUAAGGAUAAUCCAGAGCUUUCAACUAAUGGCACAUCCUACAACCGAAAAAGACUCUUACCUUCCUAUUUUCUUUAUUUCAUUUAUUAGUUACUUGGCCAUCUCUUUGAUAUAGGUUUUUGCCCCUGCCCUUCCUAUGGUUGCAGAUUGUUCUUUAGCCCAGGCCAUGUGGGCAAUGACUAGCUCUCCAUGGUUGUUACACUUGAUCCCUGUGCUCUCUUGGUCUUCUGCGAGUGUCGGUUGGCAAGAUAUAAUAGUUAGGAGUUUGGGCCCAAACCUUUGCUCUGUACAUGGAGUCAGGUCAGGUUCUUGUAGACGGUCUGUUUGUUUAAUUUGUUAUGGCCUCCUCUACAAUUUAGCUUGCAGGACUGGAUCUCGAUCUGGUCUAGAAAUGAAGCUCCAUAUGGUGUGUGAACGUAUGGUGAAGGGUACUUGAGGCAGGUCAGUUUCCCAUGUUUGGUCACAUUGAUUUACUGGAUUCCUCAUCUGUGCUUGGUGACGUCAGAUUUGAGUGGCUCUACCUUAAGUUCCUGGUUUAUGUUUGUCUGAUGGCUGUUUGGGAGCUUCGUUCUGGAUGGAGGAGUCUUCCUCGACCACAAAAACUUAAACCUGGACUCCAUGCUUGUUUCAACUGAUUUCCCAGAUUUCAUUAUGGUCUGAUUUUCCUUGAAGAAACUAUAAGUAUGCCUGUCAUAUUUGGGCCGUUCAUUGAUUUGCAUUAUUGGAGGUUUUAUUGCAAGAUUGUAGAGUUGGGUAGUCAGUCAGCGCUGGGACUUGGUGAAAGCAAAUGGGCUUCCCUGAUGGUUUUGACUUCUGAUUAGUGAUCCUGAAGCAUAAUGAUAUGGUCUUUGUGGUAGUUUUCAGUUUGAAUUUGCAUUCAGUGGCCUCAUAUCUUUGGUGCAGCUUGGAGUUGGUAGUGUGCACAUCUGAUUCUUUCAACUGUCCUGAAGCAUCUUACUUGGUUUCUGUUCUGCCAUCUUACUGGUUACAGUAUCUUCUUCAACUUGCAUGUGGUUUGGAUGGAAUAUGAUUUCAUCUUCUGCUCGAAUCAAGAAAAUGCUAGAAGUCUCAAACAAGGGUCCGAAAUGGAAAUAUCAGUUCGUACUCAGUUUGUAUAGCAGAUUAUCAAAGUUUGAUUUGACUAUAACUUACCUGCUUGUAUCUUUUAACUUGCAAAUUUAUCACCCAAUAUAUAUAUAUAUAUAGUCAUACUUGGAUUUGUCUGUCUACUAUUCUACAUACUGUUGUCCAUGAUUGCACUUGGUUUGUUUAUGUAUAUAAUUGUAUAUCUUUAGGUUCAUCUUAUGACACAAAAUCAAAUUUUGGUCUGCUCAUAUUUUUUACUUUGGUGAUAAAGAAAGAUCCCACGCUCGCACUUGUGUUGGUUGGCCUCCUGUAGUUGGGUAAUAUUGAUGCCUUGAUAUGCAGAUAGAGGUUAGGAGUGAAAAAAUGGAUAGAAGUUUCUGAGCUUGGAAGCUUGAACAAAUUUUUUGCCAUGAACAUGUUCACUGAAUAUGAUUCUGCUUUGUUGGUAUGGAGUUGAUUUUCAGAAGUGAUGUUCUUCUCAUUGGUGCUUCUCCAGUGAGAUCUGGAUUCUUCAAUGCAUCUUCUCGGUUUGGUUAAAUUGACAACUAGCAGAACAGUCUGGCUAAUUUGAUGAUUCCUGAACACACUGGCUAAUUUGAUGAUGAAUCCUGCUGAUUACUUUCAACAUAUGGCAGUUUGUUUUGUACUUCAUCCUGGAUUUAAAGUCACAAAGCGCUCACACAUCUCUACGGUCCUCCAAUGGCUAAUUUGAUCUCUUUACAGCAAACUGCUAAUUUGAUCUGGAUUAUGGAAUCUUCCAUUACAUAUUUUUAUUAAAUAUACAAUUUCAUAGCCUUCACACAUCUUAUGGUCCUCUAAUGGAUAAUUUGACCUUCUUUACCGUCAAACUGCUAAUUUGAUAUGGAUUAUUAUGGAAUCUUCAAUUACAUAUUCUUGAAGCGUUCACACAUCCUCUAAUGGCUAAUUGACCUUCUUUGCCGGUGAACUGCUAAUUUGAUCUGGAUUCUGAAUCUUGAACCACAUAUUCUCUUCAAUUACAUAUUCUUAGGUUUCUUGCACCUUCCUGGUUUUAAUAUAGUUGGCAGCUAGCAGAAGUACUAAUUUGAUGAUUCCUGCCGAUUGCAUAUUCUUAACUUGAAACUUGGACAAAACCAUUCUGUUUCAUACUACCCCCUCCGUUCCAAAAUAGACGACUUAACUUUAUACUAACUUAAGUAUAAAGUUGGGUCAUCUAUUUUGGAACGAAGGGAGUACAUAAUAAAUCCUAUAUAUAGAUUUUACCCUAUAAUGGCUAAAACUUCGAAAGCUUUCUCUGUGCAAAGACUUGAAUCACGCUCAUCCCACUAGAUAAAUUAGUUACUCCCAUUCAGGUUCUGGAAUUUAUGGCAUUCUUUGUUUGCGCCCCAUGUCUGUGUGAUGAUCUUCCGAAAAUGCUGCGUGAAUAUUUAUUGCCAAUCGUGUGUGGUGUCAAUGCUGCCUUUGGUUGAUUACGUGGCUUGUAUGCUUAGCUGAAUAUAAUUGUUUGCAGUUUUUGCUGUUUUUUGUGUUUAAGUAGGAGUAGUUUAACACUGCCUUUGCCGGUCCCAAGCCCGGAUGAGAAAAUGUGGAGGGAACUGCAGUUAGCUCCUCUGUAUCGGUUGCAUAAGAACUCAUUAGAACAGUCAUGGUGCCCAAAUAUUUUACAUUGAGUAGCAGCGAAUUAAGCGAGUAGAAGCUGCACAGACUGUCCUAGUCGAAUACUGAAUUGUCACACAAUGUGGCAAGCUUUGGAAUGCAUCCUUUGCUAUGAAGAAUCUGGGCAAGUGUAAUUUAUAGUCAUUCAGUCCUCCACAAACUUACUGAUUCCUAGCUGUACAAGGUCAGUGUUUUACUUACGUUCCCCGAAGGGAAGUGAGUGUAUAGGAAGCCUUGCAUGAAAGGCCUCCUGUACCACAGUUGUUGUGGGUAACUGCUUUCCUAGAAAAUGCUGUGGUAUUGCUGGACAAGAGAUCCGCAGUAGGGUAAAGUGUAGCAGAUGCAAGCAAAUGGGGAUGGUUCACAGAGUUCCCUGAUAAUUUCAGUUACCUGAGUAAACUAGCAGGCACGUUUGCGUGACUGGUCCUGAUAUUACACUUGGAUGUAGUGGUACUCAUUACAGCGAUUCAGGAGUUGGGAAAUACUGAGUACAUUAUUACAAGUUGAGUUAAUGAGGUUAGCGGAGGAAUUUUUGUAAUCUGUAAAAGCAAGUUCAGGGUGUGUUGGGAAAUACGUACAUUAAUGGUCGUCCUUGAGUCGAGUUGUAGUUAUCGUUCACACAAUCUCAUUUUGCGCCCAUAAGAGGGAUGCAGAUAUGGUGGUUCAUUUUCAGAGUAGAUAUUCAAGUCCGACGAAA